rnacentral:rRNA from 1 species
UUGGCCGACAACAAUUUUGGCCUGCUCAACUCUGCGAUCGAUGCCCUGAUCCCUAAAAAGGACGGCGCGAGCGGCAUUGGCGACUACCGCCCAAUUAGCCUGAUCCACUCCAUCGCCAAGCUUGUCUCCAAAGUUCUAUCAAUCAGGCUGGCUCCAGUUAUCCAGAACAUCAUAUCGCCGGCCCAGACAGCUUUUCUAAAGUCCAGAUGUCUCCAUGAUAGUUUCAUCUACGUGCAGAACUGUGUUAGGGCUUUGCAUCGUCGGAAAACGCCGGCGGUUCUCCUCAAACUAGAUAUCUCUAGAGCCUUCGACAAUGUUUCAUGGUAA